GUGGAUGUAGCUCAGUGUGAGAGCAGUUGCCUAGUGUGCAUGAGGCCCUGGGUUCCUUCCCCAGCAUCAUACA
rnacentral:tRNA from 1 species